UGCAGUCGAACGAACUCUGGUAUUGAUUGGUGCUUGCAUCAUGAUUUACAUUUGAGUGAGUGGCGAACUGGUGAGUAACACGUGGGAAACCUGCCCAGAAGCGGGGGAUAACACCUGGAAACAGAUGCUAAUACCGCAUAACAACUUGGACCGCAUGGUCCGAGCUUGAAAGAUGGCUUCGGCUAUCACUUUUGGAUGGUCCCGCGGCGUAUUAGCUAGAUGGUGGGGUAACGGCUCACCAUGGCAAUGAUACGUAGCCGACCUGAGAGGGUAAUCGGCCACAUUGGGACUGAGACACGGCCCAAACUCCUACGGGAGGCAGCAGUAGGGAAUCUUCCACAAUGGACGAAAGUCUGAUGGAGCAACGCCGCGUGAGUGAAGAAGGGUUUCGGCUCGUAAAACUCUGUUGUUAAAGAAGAACAUAUCUGAGAGUAACUGUUCAGGUAUUGACGGUAUUUAACCAGAAAGCCACGGCUAACUACGUGCCAGCAGCCGCGGUAAUACGUAGGUGGCAAGCGUUGUCCGGAUUUAUUGGGCGUAAAGCGAGCGCAGGCGGUUUUUUAAGUCUGAUGUGAAAGCCUUCGGCUCAACCGAAGAAGUGCAUCGGAAACUGGGAAACUUGAGUGCAGAAGAGGACAGUGGAACUCCAUGUGUAGCGGUGAAAUGCGUAGAUAUAUGGAA
rnacentral:rRNA from 2 species